CUAGGGUACAAGAGCUGAAGUAAUCGAAAAAGUGCCCGAAGAAGGGGACAAAGGGUUGUUAGAGCAGCUGAGAAAAGAUAAGAAGAUGGCCAACAUAUAGGAGUUGCUGAUGCACUAAUUAGAUCACAGGAAAGGUCUAAUUCAGGCCUUGUCUAGCAUCAUCAUAAGUACAAUAGCUACCCAUGACGAAAUGAUUAAAACAUAACUAAUAAAACCAUCGGCAUGAUCACUUCCUCGGAUGAAGAAUUACCACUAAAGGGAAGAGACCACAAUAAGGCUC
rnacentral:lncRNA from 1 species